AACGAACGCUGGCGGCAUGCCUAACACAUGCAAGUCGAACGGGAUCCGGACUUCGGUUCGGUGAGAGUGGCGGACGGGUGAGUAACGCGUGGGAACCUGCCCAGUGGUGGGGGAUAACUGCGGGAAACUGCAGCUAAUACCGCAUGAGCCCGAGAGGGGAAAGAUUUAUCGCCAUUGGAGGGGCCCGCGUUCGAUUAGGUAGUUGGUGAGGUAAUGGCUCACCAAGCCGACGAUCGAUAGCUGGUCUGAGAGGAUGAUCAGCCACACUGGGACUGAGAUACGGCCCAGACUCCUACGGGAGGCAGCAGUGGGGAAUAUUGGACAAUGGGGGCAACCCUGAUCCAGCAAUGCCGCGUGAGUGAUGAAGGCCUUCGGGUUGUAAAGCUCUUUUGGCGGGGACGAUGAUGACGGUACCCGCAGAAUAAGCCCCGGCUAACUUCGUGCCAGCCGCCGCAGUAA
rnacentral:rRNA from 1 species